rnacentral:rRNA from 1 species
AAUAGAUACCCGGGUAAUCCACGCCGUAAACGAUGUCGACUUGGAGGUUGUUCCCUUGAGGAGUGGCUUCCGGAGCUAACGCGUUAAGUCGACCGACUGGGGAGUACGGCCGCAAGGUUAAAACUCAAAUGAAUUGACGGGGGCCCGCACAAGCGGUGGAGCAUGUGGUUUAAUUCGAUGCAACGCGAAGAACCUUACCUACUCUUGACAUCCAGAGAACUUAGCAGAGAUGCUUUGGUGCCUUCGGGAACUCUGAGACAGGUGCUGCAUGGCUGUCGUCAGCUCGUGUUGUGAAAUGUUGGGUUAAGUCCCGCAACGAGCGCAACCCUUAUCCUUUGUUGCCAGCGGUUUCGGCCGGGAACUCAAAGGAGACUGCCAGUGAUAAACUGGAGGAAGGUGGGGAUGACGUCGAAGUCAUCAUGGCCCUUACGAGUAGGGCUACACACGUGCUACAAUGGCAUAUACAAAGAGAAGCGACCUCGCGAGAGCAAGCGGACCUCAUAAAGUAUGUCGUAGUCCGGAUUGGAGU